AUACGGAGGGUGCAAGCGUUAUACGGAAUCACUGGGUUUAAAGGGUCCGUAGGCGGGCGAUUAAGUCAGAGGUGAAAUCCCACAGCUCAACUGUGGAACUGCCUUUGAUACUGGUUGUCUUGAGUUACAGUGAAGUAGAUAGAAUGUGUAGUGUAGCGGUGAAAUGCAUAGAUAUUACACAGAAUACCGAUUGCGAAGGCAGUCUACUAACUGUAUACUGACGCUAAUGGACGAAAGCGUGGGGAGCGAACAGGAUUAGAAACCCUAGUAGUCC
rnacentral:rRNA from 1 species